AAAAACAUCGCCUCUUGCACACUAUAAGAGGUCCCGCCUGCCCAGUGAUUAAUUUAACGGCCGCGUGAUUUUAAGCGCGCAAAGGUAGCAAAAUCAUUUGUUCUUUAAAUGAGGACCAGUAUCAAUGGCACCACGAGGACUUCACUGUCUCCUUUUCCCAAUCAGUGAAACUAAUCUCCCUGUGAAAAAGCAGGGAUAAAGCUAUAAGACGAGAAGACCCCAUGGAGCUUUAAACUUUUUUCAGCAACUUCCAGUAAAUUUUUACCUAUUAAUACUUAAGUUGUGCUUAAUAGUUUUAGGUUGGGGCGACCGCGGAGUAAAAUUUAACCUCCACGACAAAAGGAGAUUUCCUAAUCUAAGAAAGACAUUUCUAAGAAUCACUAACCUGAUGUUUCAUGACCCGACUAUCGAUCAACGAACCAAGUUACCCUGGGGAUAACAGCGCAAUCCAUUUAGAAAGCUCCUAUCGACAAAUGGGUUUACGACCUCGAUGUUGGAUCAGGAUUCCCAAGUGGUGCAGCCGCUACUAAAGGUUUGUUUGUUCAACAAUUAAAAUCCUACGUGAUCUG
rnacentral:rRNA from 1 species